rnacentral:lncRNA from 1 species
UUUGAUCAAUUUUCACUUGCUGUUUUGAAUUUUUCAUCUCCUUUGGACCCUAGGCUUGUCCUAGUGGUCUUGUUUCUCACGUUUGAAUUGUGUUUCAGGUUAAGAAGCAAAUGCUUUAAGGAGAAUAAUGCAAGUUGAUUGAGUUUGGUUAAUUGUUGUGAACUAACUUGUUUUAUUUUGUAGGAUGCUUGGCUCACUUGAGUUGAUUGUGCUUUGUACAUUGCAUUGUCUGAUU